GCUCCAACUUCCAGUGCUGUUUCAAGGACCUCUUUGAUGGCUUUGUGCAAUGAUUCACAACUCUCUUUUGACAAGGUCGCGGCAGUUUGUUCGGGAUGAAUUCUUGCCUGGUAAAGCACUUCAUCAGCAACCCAAUUUCCAAUACCCGAAAUAAAACCCUGGUCAAGUAAGAGAGUCUUGAUUGGUAUUUUCUUUUUACUCAAUAAGCCCGCAAGUUCAUCAACGUGCAGGGGUUCAUAUAAUGCAUCCGGACCUAGAGCAGAAAUCGGGGGUGCAGACUCUGGAUCAUCAAGCAGGCGAACUUUUGAAAAACGUCUUUUAUCGGUGAAAGACACUUCCAGACCAUCAUCCAGUACUAAGAAAACUUUAGAGAACUUCGACGGCCAUUCCUCCGAUUCGCUCACCGCUGACCUCUUGUACUUAGUCAC
rnacentral:misc_RNA from 1 species